CAUCUUACUUGGUUUAUGUUGCUCACUGCUGUCUUCUGAAGCAACUUUGACAGACCGUGAGAACUGUGUAAACAAAAACAUAAACAUACAGUGCAUUUCUUAACAAUAAAUAAAUAUGCUCAAAAUAA